UACGGAGGGGGCUAGCGUUGUUCGGAAUUACUGGGCGUAAAGCGCGCGUAGGCGGCUUUGCAAGUCGAGUGUGAAAUCCCCAGGCUCAACCUGGGAACUGCAUUCGAGACUGCAUAGCUAGAGUAUGGGAGAGGGAAGUGGAAUUUCAGGUGUAGCGGUGAAAUGCGUAGAUAUCUGAAGGAACAUCAGUGGCGAAAGCGACUUCCUGGACCAAUACUGACGCUCAUGUGCGAAAGCGUGGGGAGCAAACAGG
rnacentral:rRNA from 1 species